UUCUAAUAUGUGAAGCUUUGAAAAUAUAAGGCAAAUUAAAACCAGAGAUUUUUUUAAAUAACUCUUUUAGAGAAAAAAUAUCAUAAAUGCACAGUUGUUGAGAAAACUCCUCUUUUUUAUUUAAAUAUUUUUACAUAAAAGAAUAAACCACGAAUGCGCAUAAUGUAUCUUACAAUAAUCUUAGAAAAUCGGUGAACUAGUCUAUUAUCUGAUUACCCGGUUAUGACACGUACGGGUCAGAUGCAAGCGUCCAGUAGACUAGGGAUAUCGAGGUCAACACGCUGGCGGUUGGGGAAAGGUAUUUUCAUUUUCUUUUUACAUAGUGAACUGAAAAACUAUUGUUAUUUUAUAUUUAUCAUUUUAAAAGCAGGUUUCGUGUCUUUCGAUUUAAACAGUAGCACGUUUUUUUUUGCGGUAUUCCUACUUUCAUUUUGGACAACAUUUGAAGGCUUUUCCAAAUUGCGUCAUUAAAACCAGGAAUUAUAGCCGUCCAAUGAAAACGCUUCUUGCAUUUCAGACAUAGGCGAGUGUGCGGUCAAGGUCAAAAUUGCGAGAGGGUGAUUCGAAGUGAAAUACCGCAACAAAAACGUUCGAUUUGGACAUUAACGCGUCUAACUCAAUGAGUCACAAUGUUUCUACCACAAGAGUUGUAAAUAUUGAACAGAUAGGGCUUCAUCUUCAAGAUGAAAACUGCAAAAAAUGGCCAACAAUAAUGGGCCAGGACUGAGGAGUUCCAAGAAAUGAGUAUUCUUCAGCCCACAAAUAUCAGUGCUGCCCCGCUGCCCAAAAUGAGAGUGUGGCAACAAGUAAAUGGACCUUGACAAAUGUCCUCUAUGUUAGAGCCAGUCCCUUACACAAGUGGCCUACUUUUGCACAGCUGAGGUUGUUAUCAAACGCAGCAGUAGGUAUGAAAUGCGGAAACUGUUCCAACUUGAUCUUCAACAGUUGAGUUACUCCUCAUCACAAUACCUGAACUGAAAACAAUCGGUGACGAUCCAGCACUUCACUUCUACCUCACAGUGCUCUUCCCUAUAAACGCUAGAAGAAAGUUUGAAAAUGAAAAACUUGUCAUUGCAAGUGUGAAAGGACCAAUUGAUUUUUAACGAAACAACCUGCCUCAAUGCUUUAGCUGACACUACAUCAAGUCAACACAAGGCAAUUUGUUUUUCUCGCAACCUGACCGGUAUGUUGAAUCUGAUCAAAAUUGUACACAAACACUGGUCAAGAAUAUAGAAAUACAAGUUGUAUGAUCAGUAACCUAAAAUAUUCUUGAAUAUUUGAACAUAAUAAAAGAGUAUUUGUUAAAGUUAUACAUUUUGUGUGUAGUGUAGGUAAGAUCAAUGUCAAGGUUAUUUUGGCUAAAAAAAAGGAAAAUGAGUCUUGAUUCAUAACAUCGAUGAAAUAGCAAGCCUGAAGUA